UUUUUAUAAGUUUUCUGUUUACAAAACUCUGAAUUUUUCGAAAAACUAAGGAUUUUCUUACCCCAGGAGUAGAUUACCUUAGUCGUAUUUGGCACAACUUUUUUGGAAUUUUGGAUCCUCAAUGCUCUGCAACUUUGUAUUUGUUUGGCUUUUUAACUAUUUUGAUCUGAGCGUCACUGAUGAGUCUUAUGUAGACGAAACGCGCGUCUGGCUUAUAAAAUUAUAAUCUUGGUACUUUUGAUAACUAAUUAGAGAAUGCAUGAAUAAAAAAAUGCCACAAAACACAUAAAUAAGCAAAAAACAAUUUCAUUCCCAGGUAUAAGGAACCAAAAGAGGACAAAAAUAAUUAUUCUACAUUUGU
rnacentral:lncRNA from 1 species